UACGGAAGAUGCGAGCGUUAUCCGGAUUUAUUGGGUUUAAAGGGAGCGUAGGCGGGCUUUUAAGUCAGCGGUCAAAUGCCACGGCUCAACCGUGGCCAGCCGUUGAAACUGCAAGCCUUGAGUCUGCACAGGGCACAUGGAAUUCGUGGUGUAGCGGUGAAAUGCUUAGAUAUCACGAAGAACUCCGAUCGCGAAGGCAUUGUGCCGGGGCAGCACUGACGCUGAGGCUCGAAAGUGCGGGUAUCAAACAGG
rnacentral:rRNA from 2 species